AAUGAACGCUGGCGGCGUGCUUAACACAUGCAAGUCGAACGGUGAAGCAGGAGCUUGCUCCUGUGGAUCAGUGGCGAACGGGUGAGUAACACGUGAGCAAUCUGCCCUGGACUCUGGGAAAAGCGUUGGAAACGACGUCUAAUACCGGAUACGAGGCGUGGGGGCAUCCCCAACGCCUGGAAAGAACUUCGGUCCAGGAUGAGCUCGCGGCCUAUCAGGUAGUUGGGGAGGUAACGGCUCACCAAGCCUACGACGGGUAGCCGGCCUGAGAGGGUGACCGGCCACACUGGGACUGAGACACGGCCCAGACUCCUACGGGAGGCAGCAGUGGGGAAUAUUGCACAAUGGGCGCAAGCCUGAUGCAGCAACGCCGCGUGAGGGACGACGGCCUUCGGGUUGUAAACCUCUUUUAGCAGGGAAGAAGCGAAAGUGACGGUACCUGCAGAAAAAGCACCGGCUAACUACGUGCCAGCCGCCGCCGUAACAC
rnacentral:rRNA from 1 species